GCAGCCUGUGCCCAUUUCAUCCAUGGCUGGAAGUGGCCGGAGGCGACUCACCUGUGGAAGUGCUCACGGGUUCUGUCUUUCCUGGCAUGGCACACACAGAGAUUCUUCUCUUCCCAACCUGGCGUAGUACCUGUACGGAGAAGCUGUCAUCUUCAUGGCCGUGUCGCAGGAUUCUUCAGGAGGAUAUGAACAAUUAAGCCCCAUUCCCAGUGAUCCUGUGGUUAGAACAAGGAAGAUCCACUCUACUUCAAGACUCUUGAAAACACACCCGCUUUUCCUGAAUUUUCUAAUCUACUCUCUACAGAGAUAAAUUCUGUAAGUCCUGUUAAUAAAAAUACUAUAUUACUUGUUUGUUAAU
rnacentral:lncRNA from 1 species